UUGCUUCAGCAGCACACAUACUAAAAUUGGAAUGAUACACAGAAGAUUAGCAUGGCCCCUGUGCAAGGAUAACGCGAAGGAAAAAAAAAAAAAAAACUAGCCU